AUGCUUUUCCGGAUCGUGUUCUCUGCACCGUUCAUCCACCGCGCGGAGCGCCUGCAUCUGCACUUCGUCCUGCGGGCCCAUCUCUUAUGUCUCCAGAUCUGCGGUUGCAUGGCAUGUCUCCUGCAGGAAACUCGUCAAGAUAAGCAAGGAGAAAAAUCAGGAACAGAAUUAAUGGGUGGACUGAAUCUUCUUACCUGCUCAAAGACAGCAGACACUCCCGAAGAUGAAGUCAGCGUAACAACUUGUAGUCCUACAGGCUGGUUUACUGAACUUUCAGCUCAACUGAACCCUGCACGCGAGCUGUACAACUUAAAUAGAAGUUCCUGCCAAUUCAUGCUACAACAGAGUUUACAGCGCAAGGGGAAUCACCUCUGCGGAUACUUCAUCCAGCUUGCGAGUUGCAUCUGA
rnacentral:rRNA from 1 species